rnacentral:rRNA from 1 species
GGGUCAGUAGGUUGGUCGUGCCACCGGUACGUACUGGUCUCACUGACUCCUCCCUCCUGAAGAACCGUAAUGCCAUUAAUUUGGUGUUGCGGGGAAACAGGACUGUUACUUUGAAAAAAUUAGAGUGUUUAAAGCAAGCUAACGCUUGAAUACAUUAGCAUGGAAUAAUGAAAUAGGACGAUCGAUCCUAUUUUGUUGGUUUCUAGGAUUGACGUA